AUGGACUACCAAGCCCCGCCCCUCUCUCCUGCAAGGAUGACGUCAUCGACUGAGUUGUCGAGUGACGUCACCUCCGGGCUGGCUGGGCUUCAUCGCUUCUCCGGAAACCUCCGACUCUCGGCACCUGGCCUCCAGCUUUCGGAACUAUGGAGGCCGCGCCCGGGACCCCCCCGCCGCCGCCAUCAGAGUCGCCGCCGUCGCCAUCGCCGCCGCCGCCAUCAACGCCUUCGCCUCCUCCGUGUUCCCCCGACGCCCGCCCGGCUACCCCGCACCUCCUCCACCACCGCCUCCCGCUCCCUGACGACAGGUCAGGCCCCCGGCCGGGCCGGGGCUGCGUCCCCGGGGGGAGGAAGAGGAGGAGGAGGAAGGGGGGCGGCCGCCAUGUUGGGCCGGGCCGCGGAGGAGGAGGAGGAGGAGGAGGAGGAAGGGCGGGGUCGGUGGGUGUCUCUCGAUCGCUUGCUCGCUCGCUCUUUCUCGCUUGCUUUCUCUCCUGGCCUCAUGCGUUUCCCCCCCCUCGCGGCGUUCGCCCGCUCUCCCUCGCUCUCGCUCUGUCUUUUUUGGGCGCCAUGCUGAGGGGAAGGUGAGGAGGCGCCCCUCGGACCCCCGCGCCCGCCCGCCCGCCCUGGGGAGGGGGGCGCCGGGGGGUGCUGCGGAGGCCCACGGGGGUCCUUGGCUGCCCCUACGCCCGGAGCUGGCAGCCACGGGCCCGCCUGCUCGUCGCCUGGCUUCGGGGAAGGGGAUGGGGGAGGGGCUCCGGACCCUUUUUGGGGGGAUCUCGAGCAACAGCCCCGCUCUUAGGGGUUUGGGGUUGGGGGUCUCCCAGCCCCCGGCAGUAUCCUUUCUCCUGGGGGAGGCACACCCUACCCUACUUGGAUGAUAGGUACCUUAGCUUAGGAGGCAGAAAGUGGGGGUUCAUUCAAGUCCCUUCUCCAUCCUUGUAAUGGGGGGUCAUUUGGGUGGGUGCUUUAUAGCACUUUUAUUUUUUGGCGGGAGGUGUUUUGUAGCUAUUCCCUAGAAGGCCGAAUUGGGGAGUGGGGGAGAUGCAUCUCCAGCCCUUUUGAUGAAAACCCCUGCCUAUUUAUUUAGAGAAGAUUCUUACCCGUGUUUUUGUUAAAGGGCAGGGGUUCUCUUGCUUUUCGUAGGUAGGUGACGUGAGGGAGGACUAGCAGCCUUGUUUUGUGGGGGUAAGGUUUGGUUUCCCUGCCUUGUAGGGAGAGGAAGUUGGUCCCGCGCUUUCUCGUGGGGUUCCCCCCUCUGUCGGGGUAAAAUGGGGCACCGUCUCUUCCGGGAGAGAGAAAAGGAGAUUUCCUUGUGCUUUGGCAGGGCGUUAAAGGAAGCGCCCCCUUCCCUUUAUUAAGUGCGAAACGCGGCGCACCCCCCCCACGCCCUUCUCUGGCUGGCGGGUGAUAAUGGGGUCAGCCCGGCGCGUUUCAGGGCGAGGUUGGGGCCCCGUUUCCUUCCCCUGCUCGAGCAGAAGGAGUUGGGGUGCAGGGUUCGUCCACUGUUUCCUGGUGGGGCAGAAGAGGCGGCUAGAGAGUAGAUUUGGACACGGACGGUGGGUUUCAGCCGGCAGGAAAGCGAGUCUUGGAGUGGGGGUGGAGAGGGGAAAAGAACGCGCUGGACAGAUGGCUACCCCGCCGCAGCCCUGGCUGGGGAGCCGCUGAGGACCCUCCCUUGGCCGGGGGUCUCAGCCAGGGCUUCCCCUGCUAGGGUCUACGGCCCCUUCUCCCUACUCCCACCUCCCCUUUCCCCUUUCUCCUUCACAGACCAUACUUUGCCUUUUAAAAGAAAUGCCACCCACAUUCAGAGACACAAGUGCAGCAGUUUGGUGAGCUUUUUACAACAUUUGUUUUUUUCUGUUUUGUUCUAAUUAAAUGUAUCGUCCUGGGAAUCGCAGCCCAUCGCAGCCCGACUCCAAGGAAAUAAACAGAUUAGCAAAGGUCUGUUCGCAAAGCCCUCGUUGGGCUUCCGGGCCCCCUCUCCGGGGGCAGGUGCAUUACUCAAAGGUGCUUACACGCUUUAUUCGACCUCUAAGGAGUUCUCUUAUGUCAGAAGUGUAUGUCUUACAAUGGGUUGGGAUGGUAAGUAGCCUCUUUUAUUGAGUAAUUCAAUGAUCUCCCUCUUUUUCUCCCUUUCCUGCCUGCCUUCCUCCUCGCCUUUAGACCAAAGUGAUGCUUGAGAGAGUGAGUUGAUAUGUUCGAAUCAGGAUUCUAACCCUGUUGAGCCCUUUUAGACUUGCACAUCCUUUCAAUGUUUAAUUUUUAAAAUUUUACGUACACAGUUUUCUCCAAAAAAAAAAAAAAAGUGUGUUACUGUAACAUGACAAAAAUCGAUAUAAAAGGCCCGUAUGUUUUCGGACUCUUGGCAUCCCUCUUUCCAUUUCAAUCCAUUGCUUUGUCUCCAGCCUUCAUCUCUGAAAAGAGUGGAUACUUCAAGUCCAUUUGUAGGAGACAAGCUUACUGAAUUUGAUUUAUGAUACAUGUAUUCAAGUUAAUGGUUUCCCUCCCUCCCUGCCCCCCAGAAAAGAUUGGUUCAAGUAGCUCCAAUUUUCUCAUUUUACUCCAAUGUCUCUUGUGGUGAUGGACGUUAAAAUUGAGCAAGUCAUUUGUAAAGUACUGUUGAAGCACAAAAUCUGUAAACUGUGUCAAGCCCCCAUCUCUGCCCGUCUCCACUGCUCCUUUGUUCGAAAGCACAUGUCUGACUGUGAAAAGUUGAUGCAAACGUGUUACACGCCCAGUCAUGUUGGAGGGAACACCUCCUCCAGCCCCCAGUCCCCCCGGCCUACACGUAACAAGGAAAAAACAGAAACAGAAAUGACUUGCAGAACCAAACACCGUACUUCUGAUGUGUUUUACAAGCAUAAGUUCCGUUAAAAGACAAAACACGUUGAAGUUGCAUUUUCCCUCUUUCCCACUUUUGAUCCCUGACAUACUUUGAGAGAGAACCCUGGCCCUCUCCAAAAGAGCCGUUUCCUUUUUUUCCUUCUUAAAAGGAAAAAAGGUCACGCACAUGUAGAUGAGGAAACUGCAAUUCAGUAGGCCACUUGUUUUCUUCCUCUUAAUAUGUUCACAACUGCCAUGGAGUGGUGAUCCUUAGUAUGUAAAAUCAGUUAUGGGAGGAAGAAAUCUCCAAACUCUACAGUAUCCUGCAAAAAAUGUCUGAAGCACAAACCGAACAAACACAUUAUCCAGGGCACUGGGUCAGCCCGAAAUGAAUUGCAUUUAUUUGAAGUUUCCCAUCCUUUAUAAAAUUCCUUCUCCAGGAGCUGAGAACAGAAAUUGGAUGACUGAUGACCCAAGUUCCAAAGGCUACUAAGUUGCUUAUUUAAACUGACUUUUAAAAAGAAACGUUAAGGAAAUGAGAUUUUUUUUGUAAGUGAAAUUUUUAGCAAUCAUUCAGUGAAUUUGAAACUAUUUCCCCAAGCAUUUAAAAAACUCACAGGCAUAUCAACACAAGGGUUUAUUGUUUUCUGUUCUCAAAGGAAUCUCAUCCCGAGAAGCCCCAGUAAUUAAGUCAAAAACUAUUUGGUUAAUCUUUGUUUUUGAAAUGUCACAGUACUGCCUUUUUUUCCCCCCAAACUGAUGUACCAGUAUUAGUUAAAAAUCAAAUUAAUGGAUGUUGCAAAAAAAAAAAGAAAGAAAAGGGUGUCACUCAGAAUCCCUGAUUUAACAACCAAUCUUAUUAUACACUUAUAACCUUUUACAUUUUUAUUUUCUCUGGGUGAGAGAUUUAACUUAAAAGCAAAUCAAAGUCUCCUAGUAGAAAAAAGUCGAUUUUGACCAUGGAAAUAUGGAUGUUCUGGUCAUAAAGCCCCUUUAUUUUUUUAAUUCUUCUCAAAUUUGCUCUUUAAAAGAAAAAAAAAAAUGUGAUUCCCCAAAAGGAGUAAUUCACAGCCUGUCCUCUCCCCCCGGUACAAUUUUGUUGUGCUCUGAAGGUUUAAAUUUUUGAUUUCUUUUUAAGCCAUAGUUUUCUCUAAGUAGAGCCAGCUAUUUUAGCCACUACUGUGGUUUUUCCACAGCCAGGAAGGCUGAUCCCAAGGGAAAAUUGUUUUGUACCUGUGGACCUGGCUGUUCAACUGCCUGGCAAAUUUAAGAUGAACGGUUUUGACUCUUGUGUUUCUAUAUAGUUGAAUGUAGAGCUAUUGCAUGUUGGACUUGCUUAGUAAUUUAUUUGACGGUGCUUCCACCUCUGCUUCUUGCUCUUAGAUCUUUUACCUUCUUCCAUGAUGGGAGAGAAAUGGCUGUCUGAGGAUCCACUUCCUUUUGUUACUUUUUUUUUUUUUUUUUUGAGACGGAGUCUCACGCUGUUGCCCAGGCUGGAGUGCAGUGGCGCGAUCUCGGCUCACUGCAAGCUCCGCCUCCCGGGUUCCCGCCAUUCUCCUGCCUCAGCCUCCUGAGUAGCUGGGACUACAGG
ensembl:lncRNA